CCCCAGGAUCCAUAUGUCUAUGAACUUUGUCUAUGGACUUCAAAAGCUUUUGACAUAUCUCUGCUCUGCAGAGGAGAGAUGAAGGACAGCACUUCUCAGGCUGAGAGGCACUAUAUACCUUAUCCCCCACAUUGCUCAGGAACUAGGACUGCAAUCCCGCUGGCAUCACAAACAAGCUGAAUUACUGCAUAAUACCCAGCAGAAGCAUGGUUCCAUAAUGAAGACAAAACAGCAGCAGAUAGGUAUUAACAGAACAUUUUUAAUAGUAUCAUCCCAACCCUGCCUUCAGCCCACACUUGGGGGACACUUCUGAGGCAAGCUGCACUGGACAAAGCCCCUAAGAUUGACUAAGGGGCAGGGAGAAUCCUGGAAUCAGCUGAAGAAGCGCUAACACCACACCUGUGUGUGGUUCCCGCUGAAUGAUUGGAGCAAUGCCAGGCCAGGCAGGGCCGCUGGGUGGGGUGGAGCCGCUGCCAUGAUGAGUGGCAGAAGGGGGUGGGGCCAAGCCAAGGGCAGCGCCACCAUUGGUCAGGGACCAUUCUGAACCCUGUGACAUCACAAAGACACUGCAUAGCUGUGGGCAGGGGGGCAGAGCCAGUCACUCCCUGGCUGUUGGGCCAGGUGGUCAGUAGCUGUUGGGCCUUAUGCUGGUGGUGGGUAGCAUUUGAGAAGUAGAAUAGAAAUGGGAGUGGAAGGAUACAUCUUCAGAGACAGAAGUAUUCACAACCAAAAAGGGUACAAACUAAGCUGGCAGUUUCCCAGUGAGCAUAGCUGCUGUGGAAUUCUCUGCAAUUUGGAAGUGAGAAAACAUGCCACUCUUAAAGCAAAGUUUUAAUUUGUCACUUUUUAUAAAACAAUGUGUAAGUAGUAGAGUUUAUUCUCAUAUGUGG
rnacentral:lncRNA from 1 species